AGAGUUUGAUCCUGGCUCAGGACGAACGCUGACGGUGUGCUUUAGGCAUGCAAGUCGAACGAGAAAGCCCUUCGGGGUGAGUAAAGUGGCGAACGGGUGAGUAACACGUGGGCAACCUGCCCCUCGCAGGGGGACAACCGGAGGAAACUCCGGCUAAUACUCCGUACGCUUGUUGGAUCGCAUGGUCCGGCAAGGAAAGGUAGCUUCGGCCAUCCGGCGAGGGAUGGGCCCGCGUUGCAUUAGCUAGUUGGUGGGGUAACGGCCUACCAAGGCGACGAUGCGUAGCUGGUCUGAGAGGAUGAUCAGCCACACUGGGACUGAGACACGGCCCAGACUCCUACGGGAGGCAGCAGCCAGGAAUCUUGGGCAAUGGGCGAAAGCCUGACCCAGCAACACCGUGUGGGCGAUGAAGGCCUUAGGGUCGUAAAGCCCUGUUGAUAGGGACGAAGGGCGAAGGGUUAAUAGCCCCUAGCUUGACGGUACCUUUCGAGGAAGCCCCGGCUAACUACGUGCCAGCAGCCGCGGUAAUACGUAGGGGGCGAGCGUUGUCCGGAAUUAUUGGGCGUAAAGAGCGUGUAGGCGGUUCGGUAAGUCUGCUGUGAAAUCCUGGGGCUCAACCCUGGGCGUGCAGCGGAUACUGCCGGGCUAGAGGGUGGUAGAGGCGAGUGGAAUUCCGAGUGUAGCGGUGAAAUGCGCAGAUAUUCGGAGGAACACCAGUAGCGAAGGCGGCUCGCUGGGCCACACCUGACGCUGAGACGCGAAAGCGUGGGGAGCGAACAGGAUUAGAUACCCCGGUAGUCC
rnacentral:rRNA from 1 species